rnacentral:rRNA from 1 species
GAGGAAGGCGGGAAUGACGUCAAGUCCUCAUGGCCUUUAUGUCCAGGGCUACACACGUGCUACAAUGGCCGGUACAAACCGCUGCAAACCCGCGAGGGUGAGCCAAUCGGAGAAAGCCGGCCUCAGUUCGGAUUGCAGUCUGCAACUCGACUGCAUGAAGCUGGAAUCGCUAGUAAUCGCGGAUCAGCAUGCCGCGGUGAAUACGUUCCCGGGCCUUGUACACACCGCCCGUCACAUCACGAAAGUGGGUUGUACUAGAAGCAGGUGAGCUAACCGCAAGGAAGCAGCCUUCCAAGGUGUGAUUCAUGAUUGGGGUGAAGUCGUAACAAGGUAGCCGUAA